UUCACGUAAAAAAAAAACGAAAAAA
rnacentral:sRNA from 1 species